rnacentral:rRNA from 1 species
GACGAACGCUGGCGGCGUGCUUAACACAUGCAAGUCGAACGGAAAGGCCCUGCUUUUGUGGGGUGCUCGAGUGGCGAACGGGUGAGUAACACGUGAGUAACCUGCCCUUGACUUUGGGAUAACUUCAGGAAACUGGGGCUAAUACCGGAUAGGAGCUCCUGCUGCAUGGUGGGGGUUGGAAAGUUUCGGCGGUUGGGGAUGGACUCGCGGCUUAUCAGCUUGUUGGUGGGGUAGUGGCUUACAAAGGCUUUGACGGGUAGCCGGCCUGAGAGGGUGACCGGCCACAUUGGGACUGAGAGACGGACCAGACUCCUACGGGAGGCAGCAGGGGGGAAUAUUGCACAAUGGGCGGGAGCCUGAUGCAGAAACGCCGCGUGCGGGAUGACGGCCUUCGGGUUGUAAACCAAUUUGGCAUGUGACGAAGCGUGAGUGACGGUAAUGGGUAAAGAAGCACCGGCUAACUACGUG